ensembl:lncRNA
GCAGUCUCUAAGGUGCAGGGUUGAGUACCGGGUGGUAUGCCGGCUAGUGACAGUGACUACUGUUUAGGGCAGCAGUCUCUAAGGUGCAGGGUUGAGUACCGGGUGGUAUGCCGGCUAGUGACAGUGACUACUGUUUAGGGCAGCAGUCUCUAAGGUGCAGGGUUGAGUACCGGGUGGUAUGCCGGCUAGUGACAGUGACUACUGUUUAGGGCAGCAGUCUCUAAGGUGCAGGGUUGAGUACCGGGUGGUAUGCCGGCUAGUGACAGUGAAUAAAGUUUAGGGCAGGGUACUGGGCGGAGGCAGACGAGUGAUGACUAUUUAACCUUCUGGCCUGGAGAUAGAAGCUGUUUUUCAGAGUCUCGAUCCCAGCUUUGAUGCACCUCUACUGACUCCGCCUUCUAGAUGGUAG